rnacentral:ncRNA from 1 species
CCUUCAACGAUUAAAAGGGAAUCGGGUGAGAAUCCCGAACAGUCCCGCUGCUGUGAGUUUCAUCAGAGCUGCAAGACAACCGAGCCACUGUUUUCUUGGUAAAAAGAAAAUGGGAAGGCGUCAUGCAGAGAAACAAGUCAGAAGACCUGCCAUGUGUGAUA